GAUUCCGUGAGAGGGAUCGCCGCGACAGGGCUUGAAGUUAGGUAUUCAGAAAAGCGCACGGUUCAUAGGAAGUCUGCUACGUGACGGCGAUGUCAACCCGGCGCGAAGAAACGAGAAAUAAUAAUAAAAAAAAAGGGAGAGAAGAAGGAGGCGAAGAGACGACGAGGCGUUCGACCGUUCCGUCUCUCGCAUAUGUGAUGCGUCCUUAAGGAAUUUUUUAGCUUUGCCAUGCGCUGUCAUCCUGAAUUUUACACGGCAAACGAUUCCGACGAAAAUGCGUUUCACGUACUUUUAACACUGAAUUAUUAUGCGCUUGUGAAAGUGGAGAACCAUACAAAACAGGCAACGUGGACCUUUUGACCUCCGGAAUAAUCUUACUUCACGACUGUGCGCGUUCAUAUACUGCUAUUCGCACCUGCCGAUUCCUUGAAAAAAUUCUGAAGGAGAAAUGUUCGAUCACCCAUUGUCUAGAUCUGGCACUGAACAACUAUCGCUUCUUGCAUUUCAAAAGAUAUUUCAAAGCUACAGCCCGAAACAAAUAGACUAAAAAUAAUGAUGAUCAGCUAACUAAAGAUAACAAUAUUUAUAUGAUAACAAUUUUUUCCGAAGAGAUUGUAGCAAAGAGAUUGUAACGAAAGCUGAUAAUACUAAACUUAUC